rnacentral:ncRNA from 1 species
GACCACGGUAGGCUCAGCGACUGGGGUGAAGUCGUAACAAGGUAGCCGUAGGGGAACCUGCGGCUGGAUCACCUCCUUU